rnacentral:tRNA from 1 species
UAUAUUUUAGUAUAUGAUGUAUAUUAGUUUUUGAUACUGAAGGGGAUAGUUUAAUUCUAUCAAAUGUAA